GACGAACGCUGGCGGCGUGCCUAAUACAUGCAAGUAGAACGCUGAAGGAGGAGCUUGCUUCUCUGGAUGAGUUGCGAACGGGUGAGUAACGCGUAGGUAACCUGCCUGGUAGCGGGGGAUAACUAUUGGAAACGAUAGCUAAUACCGCAUAAUAGUAGAUGUUGCAUGACAUUUGCUUAAAAGGUGCAAUUGCAUCACUACCAGAUGGACCUGCGCUGUAUUAGCUAGUUGGUGGGGUAACGGCUCACCAAGGCGACGAUACAUAGCCGACCUGAGAGGGUGAUCGGCCACACUGGGACGGAGACACGGCCCAGACUCCUACGGGAGGCAGCAGUAGGGAAUCUUCGGCAAUGGACGGAAGUCUGACCGAGCAACGCCGCGUGAGUGAAGAAGGGUUUCGGAUCGUAAAGCUCUGUUGUAAGAGAAGAACGAGUGUGAGAGUGGAAAGUUCACACUGUGACGGUAUCUUACCAGAAAGGGACGGCUAACUACGUG
rnacentral:rRNA from 1 species